rnacentral:rRNA from 1 species
CGUGUUAGGCGGUUGGUCAAGCCUGAUGUGAAAGCCCGGGGCUCAGCUUCGGAAGGGCAUCGGAAACUAGCCAGCUGGAGCGCGAUAGAGGAGGGCGGAAUUCCUGGUGUAGCGGUGAAAUGCGUAGACAUCAGGAGGAACACCGGCGGCGAAGGCGGCCCUCUGGAUCGUUGCUGACGCUGAGACGCGAAAGCGUGGGGAGCAAACA